rfam:Auxenochlorella protothecoides strain 0710 unplaced genomic scaffold scaffold82, whole genome shotgun sequence.
UUACUGGUGUUACUCAACACCACCACAUAUGAUCCGGAAAAUGGAAG